CAGUCGCCACGGUAAUACGUAGGUGGCAAGCGUUGUCCGGAAUUAUUGGGCGUAAAGGGCUCGCAGGCGGUUUCUUAAGUCUGAUGUGAAAGCCCCCGGCUCAACCGGGGAGGGUCAUUGGAAACUGGGAAACUUGAGUGCAGAAGAGGAGAGUGGAAUUCCACGUGUAGCGGUGAAAUGCGUAGGGAUGUGGAGGAACACCAGUGGCGAAGGCGACUCUCUGGUCUGUAACUGACGCUGAGGAGCGAAAGCGUGGGGAGCGAACAGGAUUAGAUACCCCGGUAGUCCCUGUCUCUUAUAA
rnacentral:rRNA from 1 species